rnacentral:rRNA from 1 species
AACGAACGCUGGCGGCAGGCUUAACACAUGCAAGUCGAGCGCCCCGCAAUGGGAGCGGCAGACGGGUGAGUAACGCGUGGGAAUCUACCCAUCUCUACGGAAUAACGCAUGGAAACGUGUGCUAAUACCGUAUACGUCCUUCGGGAGAAAGAUUUAUUGGAGAUGGAUGAGCCCGCGUUGGAUUAGCGAGUUGGUGGGGUAAAGGCCUACCAAGGCGACGAUCCAUAGCUGGUCUGAGAGGAUGAUCAGCCACACUGGGACUGAGACACGGCCCAGACUCCUACGGGAGGCAGCAGUGGGGAAUAUUGGACAAUGGGCGCAAGCCUGAUCCAGCCAUGCCGCGUGAGUGAUGAAGGCCCUAGGGUUGUAAAGCUCUUUCACCGGUGAAGAUAAUGACGGUAACCGGAGAAGAAGCCCCGGCUAACUUCGUGCCAGCCGCCGCCGUAAAAC